rnacentral:rRNA from 1 species
UACGGAGGGUGCAAGCGUUAUCCGGAUUCACUGGGUUUAAAGGGUGCGUAGGUGGGUUGGUAAGUCAGUGGUGAAAUCUCCGAGCUUAACUUGGAAACUGCCAUUGAUACUAUCAGUCUUGAAUAACCGUGGAGGUCAGCGGAAUAUGUCAUGUAGCGGUGAAAUGCUUAGAUAUGACAUAGAACACCAAUUGCGAAGGCAGCUGACUACGCGAAUAUUGACACUGAUGCACGAAAGCGUGGGGAUCAAACAGG